CCCUCCAAAGUUUCCCUCAGGAUAGCUGGCGCUCUCGCAGUGGUCGUCUGGUUCGGCAGGGGCCUCCCCUCCCUCAGGGGGCAGGGGUUCCCCUGGCACCUGCUGCCACACAGUUUUAUCCAGUCAAGCGAAUGAUUAGAGGUCUUGGGGCCGAAACAAUCUCCACCUAUUAUCAAACUUUAAAUGGGUAAGAAGCCUGGCCCGCUGACUUGGAGCUGGGCGUGGAAUGUGAAUGCCUAGUGGGCCACUUUUGGUAAGCAGAACUGGCGCUCCAGGAUGAACCGAACGCUGGUUAAGGCACCCGAUGCUGACGCUCAUCAGAACCCAGAAAAGGUGUUGGUUGACAUAAACAUCUGAUCCAAUCAGCAAAUAUUUAUGGAUACCUAAGAUGGUCUAGGCAUUAUGUAGAGCAUAAAGAAGUAUAAGACCCUCUGCCCUCAAGAAGAUUAAGCCUGAGGUGGAGGGGGG
rfam:Monodelphis domestica chromosome X, whole genome shotgun sequence.